CCUACGGGAGGCAGCAGUAGGGAAUCUUCCACAAUGGGCGAAAGCCUGAUGGAGCAACGCCGCGUGGGUGAAGAAGGUCUUCGGAUCGUAAAACUCUGUUGAUAGAGAAGAAAGUGCGGGAGCGUAACUGUUCACGUUUCGACGGUAUCUAACCAGAAAGCCACGGCUAACUACGUGCCAGCAGCCGCGGUAAUACGUAGGUGGCAAGCGUUAUCCGGAUUUAUUGGGCGUAAAGGGAACGCAGGCGGUCUGUUAAGUCUGUUGUGAAAGCCUUCGGCUUAACCGGAGUAGUGCAUUGGAUACUGGGAGACUUGAGUGCAGAAGAGGAGAGUGGAACUCCAGGUGUAGCGGUGAAAUGCGUAGAUAUAUGGAAGAACACCAGUGGCGAAGGCGGCUCUCUGGUCUGUAACUGACGCUGAGGUUCGAAAGCGUGGGUAGCAAACAGGAUUAGAUACCCGGGUAGUC
rnacentral:rRNA from 1 species